UACAUAAGUGCGAUUGAGUUAACCAAUAU
rnacentral:piRNA from 1 species